rnacentral:rRNA from 1 species
GGUUUGUCGCGUCUGCCGUGAAAGUCCGGGGCUCAACUCCGGAUCUGCGGUGGGUACGGGCAGACUAGAGUGAUGUAAGGGAGACUGGAAUUCCUGGUGUAGCGGUGAAAUGCGCAGAUAUCAGGAGGAACACCGAUGGCGAAGGCAGGUCUCUGGGCAUUAACUGAUGCUGAGGAGCGAAAGCAUGGGGAGCGAACAGGAUUAGAUACCCUGGUAGUCCAUGCCGUAAACGUUGGGCACUAGGUGUGGGGGACAUUCCACGUUUUCCGCGCCGUAGCUAACGCAUUAAGUGCCCCGCCUGGGGAGUACGGCCGCAAGGCUAAAACUCAAAGGAAUUGACGGGGGCCCGCACAAGCGGCGGAGCAUGCGGAUUAAUUCGAUGCAACGCGAAGAACCUUACCAAGGCUUGACAUGGACCGGACCGGGCUGGAAACAGUCCUUCCCCUUUGGGGCCGGUUCACAGGUGGUGCAUGGUUGUCGUCAGCUCGUGUCGUGAGAUGUUGGGUUAAGUCCCGCAACGAGCGCAACCCUCGUUCCAUGUUGCCAGCGCGUAAUGGCGGGGACUCAUGGGAGACUGCCGGGGUCAACUCGGAGGGAGGUGGGGACGACGUCAAAUCAUCAUGCCCCUUAUGUCUUGGGCUUCACGCAUGCUACAAUGGCCGGUACAAAGGGUUGCGAUACUGUGAGGUGGAGCUAAUCCCAAAAAGCCGGUCUCAGUUCGGAUUGGGGUCUGCAACUCGACCCCAUGAAGUCGGAGUCGCUAGUA